rnacentral:rRNA from 1 species
UACAGAGGGUGCGAGCGUUAAUCGGAAUUACUGGGCGUAAAGCGCGCGUAGGCGGCUUUUCAAGUCGAUUGUGAAAUCCCCGGGCUUAACCUGGGAACUGCAGUCGAGACUGUCUAGCUAGAGUAUGGGAGAGGGAAGUGGAAUUUCAGGUGUAGCGGUGAAAUGCGUAGAUAUCUGAAGGAACAUCAGUGGCGAAAGCGGCUACCUGGACAAUUGCUGACGCUCAGGCACGAAAGCGUGGGGAGCAAAAGGG